rnacentral:rRNA from 1 species
GCUUGUCUCAAAGAUUAAGCCAUGCAUGUCUAAGAAUAAGCCCAUAGAACGGCGAAUCUGCGAAUGGCUCAUUACAUCAGUUAUUGUUUAUUUGAUGGUACACUAUGCCUUUUAGGCAGGGCUACUUGGAUAACCGUAGUAAUUCUAGAGCUAAUACAUGCAUCAUCCCCCAUCUCGGGGUGUAUUUAUUAGAUGGAAACCAAUGCGGGGCAACCCGGAAUAUGGUGAAUCAUAAUAACUGUCGUAUCGAGCAAUCGAAGCGCCAUACAAGUUUCUGCCCUAUCAGCUUUGGAUGGUAGGGUAUUGGCCUACCAUGGCUUUAACGGGUAACGGAGAAUUAGGGUUCGAUUCCGGAGAGGGAGCCUGAGAAACGGCUACCACAUCCAAGGAAGGCAGCAGG